rnacentral:rRNA from 1 species
UACAGAGGUCUCAAGCGUUGUUCGGAUUCAUUGGGCGUAAAGGGUGCGUAGGUGGCGGGGCAAGUUUGGUGUGAAAUCCCGGGGCUCAACCUCGGAACUGCACUGAAUACUGCCUUGCUAGAGCACUGGAGAGGGAACUGGAAUUUACGGUGUAGCAGUGAAAUGCGUAGAUAUCGUAAGGAAGACCAGUGGCGAAGGCGAGUUCCUGGACAGUUGCUGACACUGAGGCACGAAGGCUAGGGGAGCAAACAGG